rnacentral:rRNA from 1 species
GAUGAACGCUGGCGGCGUGCCUAAUACAUGCAAGUCGAGCGAACGGGCGAGAAGCUUGCUUCUCUGAUGUUAGCGGCGGACGGGGGGGUAACACGUGGAUAACCUACCUAUAAGACUGGGAUAACUUCGGGAAACCGGAGCUAAUACCGGAUAAUAUUUUGAGCCGCAUGGUUCAAAAGUGAGAGACGGUCUUGCUGUCACUGAUAGAUGGAUCCGCGCUGCAUUAGCUAGUUGGUAAGGUAACGGCUUACCAAGGCAACGAUGCAUAGCCGACCUGAGAGGGUGAUCGGCCACACUGGAACUGAGACACGGUCCAGACUCCUACGGGAGGCAGCAGUAGGGAAUCUUCCGCAAUGGGCGAAAGCCUGACGGAGCAACGCCGCGUGAGUGAUGAAGGUCUUCGGAUCGUAAAACUCUGUUAUUAGGGAAGAACAUAUGUGUAAGUAACUGUGCACAUCUUGACGGUACCUAAUCAGAAAGCCACGGCUAACUACGUG